rnacentral:misc_RNA from 1 species
GAAAUGCGAUAAGUAAUGUGAAUUGCAGAAUUCAGUGAAUCAUCGAAUCUUUGAACGCACCUUGCGCUCCUUGGUAUUCCUUGGAGAAUGCAUGUUUGAGUAUCAUGAAAUCUUCAAAGUAAAUCUUUUGUUAACUCAAUUGGUUUCUACUUUGGUAUUGGAGGUCUUUGCAGCUUCACACCUGCUCCUCUUUGUUCAUUAGCUGGAUCUCAGUGUUAUGCUUGGUUCCACUCGGCGUGAUAAGUUAUCUAUCGCUGAGGACACUGUAAAAGGUGGCCAAGGUAAAUGCAGAUGAACCGCUUCUAAUAGUCCAUUGACUUGGACAAUACUUUUAUGAUCUGAUCUCAAAUCAGGUAGGACUACCCGCUGAACUUAAGC